rnacentral:rRNA from 1 species
AGUGAACGCUGGCGGUAGGCCUAACACAUGCAAGUCGAACGGCAGCACAGUAAGAGCUUGCUCUUACGGGUGGCGAGUGGCGGACGGGUGAGGAAUACAUCGGAAUCUACUUUUUCGCGGGGGAUAACGUAGGGAAACUUACGCUAAUACCGCAUACGACCUACGGGUGAAAGCAGGGGAUCUUCGGACCUUGCGCGAUUGAAUGAGCCGAUGUCGGAUUAGCUAGUUGGCGGGGUAAAGGCCCACCAAGGCGACGAUCCGUAGCUGGUCUGAGAGGAUGAUCAGCCACACUGGAACUGAGACACGGUCCAGACUCCUACGGGAGGCAGCAGUGGGGAAUAUUGGACAAUGGGCGCAAGCCUGAUCCAGCCAUACCGCGUGGGUGAAGAAGGCCUGCGGGUUGUAAAGCCCUUUUGUUGGGAAAGAAAAGCAGCAGGUUAAUACCCCGCUGUUCUGACGGUACCCAAAGAAUAAGCACCGGCUAACUUCGU